CCGAGGCCGUUCCGUAACGGCGUGGUGAUAGGCCGAGACUUCGGGGUGGGCCUGACCAUCUCGUUUGAAUGCCUGCCAGGUUACACCCUGAUAGGAGAGGUCUCACUCACCUGCCUGCAUGGGGUCAGCAGAAACUGGAACUACCCUGUACCAUGCUGUGAGGCCCAGUGUGGUGGUAAUAUAACGUCUCUGAACGGGACCAUCUAUUCUCCCGACCACCCAGCAGAGUACCCUAACUUCCAGGACUGUCUGUGGAGUGUACGGGUUCCCCCAGGGAAUGGCAUCUGCAUCAACUUCACCGUUCUCAACACUGAACCCAUCUACGACUACAUCACCGUCUGGGACGGCCCUGACCAAGGAUCUCCUCAGAUUGGUCAGUUCAGUGGGAACACGCCCCAGAAAGAGGUCUAUACCACAGCCAAUCAUGUCCUCAUCAAGUUCCACAGUGAUUUCAGCACCAGUGGGUUCUUUG